AUUAUUAACUGUACAGUUCUGGUUCGUACCGAACAUUAGGUUUUUUGGACCCCGGACCCGAACAUGGACAUAUCACUGUAUGUUCAGGCUGGAGUUCGGUGUUUGUCGAUUUAAUGGCGCGUUUUGAAAGGCGGCAGGGCAGCCAAUCUACAAGCGUUUGACUCGUGUGCCCUUAGAAGCCAUCACAGCCAUGCCUACUAAAGGCAUGGCUGUGAUUGGCCAGCGCAGCAUGUGAC